rnacentral:piRNA from 1 species
UUNCAGGAUUGUCCUACGCAGCUUUGGC